GGUGUAGCUCAACUGGGAAAAGCACCUGCUUUGCAAGCAGGGGGGUCAUCGGUUCGAAUCCCUUUCCCCCUCCCCA
rnacentral:tRNA from 1 species